rnacentral:rRNA from 1 species
AGAUUGAACGCUGGCGGCAGGCCUAACACAUGCAAGUCGAGCGGCAGCACGGGUACUUGUACCUGGUGGCGAGCGGCGGACGGGUGAGUAAUGCCUAGGAAUCUGCCUGGUAGUGGGGGGAUAACGCUCGGAAACGGACGCUAAUACCGCAUACGUCCUACGGGAGAAAGCAGGGGACCUUCGGGCCUUGCGCUAUCAGAUGAGCCUAGGUCGAUUAGCUAGUUGGUGGGGUAAUGGCUCACCAAGGCGACGAUCCGUAACUGGUCUGAGAGGAUGAUCAGUCACACUGGAACUGAGACACGGUCCAGACUCCGUACGGAGGCAGCAGGUGGGGAAUAGUUAGGACAAGUGGGACGAAAGCCUAGAUCCGAGCCAGUCGCCGCGUGUGUGGAGAAGGUCUUCGGAUUAGUAAAGCGUAGUUUAAGGUGGAGGAAGGACUAGGUUAACAAGUACGUAUCGUUGUUUUAGAACGUUACCGAC